rnacentral:rRNA from 1 species
AUUGAACGCUGGCGGCAUGCCUUACACAUGCAAGUCGAACGGCAGCACGGGAGCAAUCCUGGUGGCGAGUGGCGAACGGGUGAGUAAUAUAUCGGAACGUGCCCAGUGAUGGGGGAUAGCCCGGCGAAAGCCGGAUUAAUACCGCAUACGACCUACGGGUGAAAGCAGGGGAUCGCAAGACCUUGCGUCAUUGGAGCGGCCGAUAUCAGAUUAGCUUGNGGUGGGGUAAAGCCUACCAAGGCGACGAUCUGUAGCUGGUCUGAGAGGACGACCAGCCACACUGGGACUGAGACACGGCCCAGACUCCUACGGAGGCAGCAGUGGGGAAUUUUGGACAAUGGGCGCAAGCCUGAUCCAGCCAUGCCGCGUGC